rnacentral:tRNA from 1 species
GUCGACUUAGUUCAGCAGGAAGAGCAACUGACUUGUAAUUAUCAGGUCACCAGAUCGAUUCCGGUAGUCGACACCA